rnacentral:rRNA from 1 species
AUGGCUCAGGACGAACGCUGGCGGCGUGCCUAAUACAUGCAAGUCGAGCGGAGUUAUUCCUUCGGGGAUAACUUAGCGGCGGACGGGUGAGUAACACGUAGGCAACCUGCCUGUAAGAUCGGGAUAACUACCGGAAACGGUAGCUAAGACCGAAUAAUCAGCUUGGUCGCAUGAUCGAGCUGGGAAAAGCGGAGCAAUCUGCUACUUACAGAUGGGCCUGCGGCGCAUUAGCUAGUUGGUGGGGUAACGGCUCACCAAGGCGACGAUGCGUAGCCGACCUGAGAGGGUGAACGGCCACACUGGGACUGAGACACGGCCCAGACUCCUACGGGAGGCAGCAGUAGGGAAUCUUCCGCAAUGGACGCAAGUCUGACGGAGCAACGCCGCGUGAGUGAUGAAGGUUUUCGGAUCGUAAAGCUCUGUUGCCAGGGAAGAACGCUUGGGAGAGUAACUGCUCUCAAGGUGACGGUACCUAGAAGAAAGCCCCGGCUAACUA